UUGCACGCUGGCGGCAUGCCUUACACCUGCAAGUCGAACGGCAGCACGGGUGCUUGCCCCUGGUGGCGAGUGGCGAACGGGGGAGUAAUACAUCGGAACAUGUCCUGUAGUGGGGGAUAGCCCGGCGAAAGCCGGAUUAAUACCGCAUACGAUCUACGGAGGAAAGCGGGGGACCUUCGGGCCUCGCGCUAUAGGGGUGGCCGAUGGCUGAUUAGCUAGUUGGUGGGGGGGAGGCCUUCCAAGGCGACGAUCAGGAGGUGGUCGGAGAUGACGGCCAGCCAGCCUGGGAGGGGGACACGGCCCAGACGGCUACGGGAGGCAGCAGUGGGGAAUUUGGGACAAUGGGCGAAAGCCUGAUCCAGCAAUGCCGCGUGUGUGAAGAAGGCCGUCGGGUUGUAAAGCACGUUUGUCCGGAAAGAAACCCUUGGCCCUAAUACGGUAGGGGGGAUGACGGUACCGGAAGAAUAAGCACCGGCUAACUACGUG
rnacentral:rRNA from 1 species